rnacentral:lncRNA from 1 species
AACGAAGACGAAAUGUCCGUUGUGAAACGUUACGACUGCGACGCUCAUUGCAGCUAUCCUGGAGGAUGUUGGGGACAAUAUGGAGCAUGCAAAGGAAUCUGCUACUGUUAUGGGAGCGGGUUAGCGUACAGAUGUAAUUACUGCGACGUCUAAACAACUGCCAUGAAUAUCUAAACAGUUGUCAUGAACUGAAGAUAUAUUAAAUACAUGUAUCUAUCA